CUAUAGAAGUUCCUUUAGUAUUUGUUGUAAGGUUGGUUUAGUGUUGCUGAAUUCUCUUAGCUUUUGCUUAUCUGUGAAGGUUUCGAUUUCUUCAAAUCUGAACGAGAGCCUUGCUGGGUAGAGUAAUCUUGGUUGGAGAUUUUUUUCCUUUCAUCACAUUGAGUAUAUGAUGCCACUCCCUUCUGGCCUGCAGAGUUUCCGCUGAAAAAUCUGCCAAUAACCUUAUUGGGGUUCCCUUGUAUGUUAUUUCUUUUCCCUAGCUGCUUUCAAGAUUUUCUCUUUGUCUUUAGUUUUGGUCAGUUUGAUUAGUAUGUGUCUCGGGGUGUUCCUCCUUGGGUUUAUUUUGUAUGGUACUCAUUGUGCUUCCUGGAUUUGAGUGAGGGGUUCCUUUCCCAUGUUGGGGAAGUUUUUGGCUAUUAUCUCUUAGAAUAUUUUUUCUCCUCCUCUCUCUCUCUUCUCCUUCUGGCACCCCUAUAAUACAGAUGUUGGUGCAUUUCACGUUGUACCAGAGUUCUCUGAGACUCUCUUCAUUUGUUUUCAAUCUUUUUUCUCUUUUCUGUUCUGCAUCUGUAAUUUCCACUAAUCUGUCCUCCACCUCGCUUAUUUGUUCUUCUGCCUCCUGUAUUCUGCUGUUAGCUGCUUCUAGUGAAUUUUUUAUUUCAGUUAUUGUAUUUUGCAUCUCUUCUUGUUUAAGUUUUGUAUCUUGUAUCUCUUUGGUCAGUGUUUCCUGUAAGUUAUCCAUCUUUGCCUCCAGUUUAUUUCCAAUGUCUUGCAUCAUCUUGAGCAUCAACAGUCUAAAGUCUUUUUCCUGGAGGCUGAGAAUCUCCUCAUCACUUAGCUGAUUUUCUAGGAUUUUUCCUUUCUCCCUCAUCUGAGUUAUAGUUCUCUGUCUUUUCAUUUUUAUAGGUUUUUGGUGUGGUGACCUUUUUACAGAUAAUAGAGUUGUAGCCUCUCUUACUUCUGGUGUCUGCCCCCCUUGUGGCUGAAGUCGGUAUGGGGGCUUGCUGUAGGCUUCCUGAUGGGAGGGGCUGAUGCCUGCCCACUGGUAGGUGGAGCUGAUUCUAAUCCCUCUGGUGGGUGGGGCUUAGUCUCUGGAUGGGAUUAGAGGCAGCUGUGUGCCUGAGGGGUCUUUAGGUAGCCUGUUUACUGAGGGGUGGGGCUGUGAUCCCACCUGGAUUGUUGUUUGCCCUGGGGCUUCUCAGCACUGACUGAUGGGUGGGGCCAGAUUUUCCCAAAAUGGCCACCUCCAGAGAAAGGCACCUGCUGAAUAUUCCCGAGAGCUUUGCCUUCAAUGUCCUUCCCUCACAACAAGCCACAUUCACCCCUGUUUUCCCAGGAUGUCCUCCAAGAACUGCAGUCAGGUUUGACCCAGAUUCCUAUGGAGACCUUGCUCUGCCCUGGGACCCAGUGCACGUGAAAGUCUGUGUGCGCCUUUUAAGAAUGGGGUCUCCGUUUCCCCCAGUCCUGUGGAGCUCCUGCGCACAAGCCCCACUGGCCUUCAAUGCCAGAUGCUCCAGGGGCUCUUUCUCCCAGUGCCAGAUCCCCACACGUGAGGGUUUGAUGUGGGGCUCAGAACUCUCACUCCUGUAGGUGAGUCUCUGUGAACCAGUUAGUUUUCAGUCUGUGGAGCUUCCCACCCAGGAGGUAUGGGGUUGUUUAUAUCAUGAAAUCGCCCCUCCUACCUCUUGAUGUGGCCUCCUCUUUUUCUUCUGGAGUAGGGUAUCUUUUUUAAGGUUUCCGGUCCAUUUUGGUGAAGUGUGCUCAGUCUUUAGUUGUGAAUUUUGUUGUUUUUAGGAGAGAAGUUGAGCUCCAGUCCUUCUAUUCUGCCAUCCUAAUUCCGUCACUCUCCACUCACUUCUUUUUUGUGUAGCGUUACUAUAAUAGAUCCAUGUCCAUUAACUGCAUAUUGUCUAUGGCUGCUUUCAUGUUCCAACGGCAGAGCAUUUGCUUCUGAGACCCUGUGGCCCGUAAAGCCUAAAAUAUUUAUCAUCUGCCUCUUUGCAGAGGGACGCUGCCAAUACCCGACCUAGCAUGUCAUGCCCUGUCCAGCCCUGCUGGUGCAUCCACCUCUCUGACCAUGCUGCUCAUUGUCAGCUGCGGUGCCCUCCCCAUGUCUCCCCAAACAUGGCAAACACAUCACCAUAAUGAGAUCAUUGCACUGGCUGGUCCCUCUGCCUAAAUUUCACUCACCCAGGUAGCCGUGUGGCUUACUCCGUAUCUCUUUCAAAUCUAGAUUCAAAUAGCUCCUUCUCAAAGAAGGUACCCUCAUCAUCUCAUUUAAUUCUACUAACCAUCCACACACACCAAGCUGUCUUAACUCCCAUUUUUUCCAUAGAACUUAUCACCUUUUGAAACUAAAAUAAGUUAAUGAUUUACUCCAUCCAUUUUUUCGCUUCCUGCGGAAUAUGUUCUCUUGAAGAGUUUGUACCCUACGUGCUACGGCAGUGCUUGGCGCUUCGCAGGCCUUUAGGAAGCGCUGGUUGGAUGAGACGAUGCUGAAGGGGCAGAACAUGACCCCAUGCCUUGGGUCCCUCUCCGCCUCCUCCUGUCAUCACAGCCCUUACCUGCCCUCCUCCGUAAACACUCUCUGAGUAACGUGUUGAUCUCCAUUUUUGUGUGGUGUUUUCCUUUACAGUUGGAUCAAGUUUUCUAUGUCCCUACAAAAUACAUGCAGUUAAGCCAGAUUUCUACCCUUAUAUAGACUGAGUGGAACUUGCAGGUCCCCUUCUGAGACGUCCCUUUUUUCCUCAAUAUUGUUUAAGACGUCCAGUCACAUCGAUGCAAGCAGUGAUAACGUACUCCUCCUCACUGCUGGAUGGCAUUCCAGGUAGGAGUGUACCCAGUCCAUCUCUCUUCACUGCAGCACGUAUUUAGGUGGCUGCAGUUUUUCUUGACAGGCUGUACUGUCAGAACAUUCUUACAUCCACCUCCUCUGCCGCUGUAAGGUCUUUCUUGGAGUUCACGCCGAGGGAUGGGCUCACCGGGUAGCAGGGAUGUGCGUUACUCAGCUUAUUGGCUCAUACCCGAAUUGUCUUCCACGGAAGGACACAGCUGAUGCCUCUGCUAUCGGUGGAGAAGAGUCCCACGGCUCCACUUCCUCAUAACGCUUGGCCACAGCAGCGUGUACAGUGGAAACUCAGUGUGGUUUUCACUUGUGUCUCUGAUCAUCAAGAAACGGAGAAUCUUUCCAUAUGUUUAUGAGCAUUUGUUAUUCCUUUUCUGUGAAAUGCCUAUUCAUGUAUUUUUCCCAUUGAGUUGUUUUGCUUUUCCUCACUGAGUCACAGGAGCUUUUGCUCAAAAAGCAUAAUUUUCUCAAAGCCUUGUAUUUGAGGCCAAGUGCACGGCACAGCUUCAAGGUGCCCGAGGGCAAAACCGCCUGAGGUUUAACACAAUGAGGAAUGAGGAAUGACGGCCCUGACUUACUGGGAAAGAGUAAUAACACAAUACUUGUUGACUAAGUAAAUGACGGAAUAAACAAACACUCAGCAGAAUCCUCUAAACGCCUGGGCCUGUUCUAAGUUAGCCAAAUAAAUAUAUUCUUUGAGGAAUAUUUUAAUCAAAAACAGGUAGAAUGAAAAUAAAGUUGUGUACAUCAACGUCUCUGAGGAAUUGAUCAUUUCCUAAAAAUGUCCAAUAAACGAGGUUGCCUUUCAUGGAACAACUGACUUCAUGAGCAUAAUUAGCUGAAGUGGAUGCUAAUAUACGCAUCUUUAACUUGUCUUUCCCAUUGCAUGAGAACUGUUCUUUUAUAGGUCUAGACAGAAAUCAUAAACCUGACACUAAUAAAUAAUUUGUAUAGUAAUAUCCAAAUUACAUUUGUUACUCUGAUUUUCAAUAAUUCUUAUGUGAACUGUUUUAUGUUUAUUUUGUUUUCUUAAUCACUGUAGACUUUAAACCUAUUCUCUAUAACUCUGGUGUCUUGAAUUCUUAAAAUUACAUUUAUUCCAAUUCCAAUGCAACGCUAGUCAUUUGGCUAUGUUGGAAUGCACGAUGCCUAUUCAUCACUAAAAGGGUAUAUUGUACCAAGGAACUGAGAAAGCCACCCCGUGACACUCUGUUACUGGACGCUCUGUCUCACCUGAGAAACAUUUAAUCUGCUCAUUCUCUGCUCUGUUUAUUUGUAAAGAGAUUUCCCAUCUACUUGUCUGUGUGAGAAAACAGGAUGACCCUUCUUCAUCACGUGACCUACGCCGGGGAUUCUGGUUUCUUUAUCCUUCACCCUAUCAAGGACCUUGUUUUAUAACAGGUUAGAGAAGUUUGCCACAGAAAAUUCAGUGUCUCACUGUGUACUGAGUAAUACAUUUCCUAUUCUAACUCCAGCUUCUAAAAUGUUAAGGAGUAAUUUUAAUAAGAAAUUUAAAAUACGACUAAGAAUACACAUGCGUGUAAGGUACUGUACAGGGAAUGUAGCCACUAUUUUAUAAUAACUUUAAAUGGUGUGUAAGCUAUAAAAAAUUGAAUGACUAUAUUAUACAUCUGAAACUAACAUAACACUGUAAAUCAACUAUAUUUAAAUUAAAAAAUAAAUAAUACAAAUCUGAAAUUGACUUCUAGACUCAUGAUUUCAGGAGUUCCCGUCCUGGCACAGCGGAAACGAAUCCGACUAGGAACCAUGAUGUUUCGGGCCCAAUCCCUGGCCUUGCUCAUGGGUUAAGGAUCCCAUGUUGCCAUGAGCUGUGGUGCAGGUCGCAGACACGGGUUGGAUCUGUCCUUGCUGUGGCUGUGGCAUCAGCAGGCAGCUGCAGCUCUGAUUAGAUCUAGCCUGGGAACCUCCAUAUGCCGUGGGUGUGGCCCUAAAAAGACAAAAAAAAAAAAAUACACUCAUGAUUUCAGAGUAUAUUAGAAAAUAUUAUUUGAACAGAAUUAUUUUAACUAUGUAAAAAGAGAAAGAUAAGUUUCCAGUUUGAAAGGGUCCCCUGGCAAUGUAGAACAGUAAAGGAAAAAGACCUACAUCAAAAUAUCUGUCUGUGAAGUUUCAAGACACUAGAGUUAGAGAGAACACGUUUAAAGUUAACAGUGAUAAAAAAAAAAUAAAACAAAAAACAGUUCGCCUAGAAAGUACUGAAAAUCCGAAGCACACCUGACAAUAACAGCAAUGGCAUAAUGGUUUAAAAUCGGGAGAAAAAAUGUUUCUGAGCUGUAUUGGUAAUUCUGUGUCCAAUCAAAUAAUCAACCACAUGGAAGCGUGGAAUAAAGACCGUUUCAGGUGUGCACCCUCCAGAAACAAAAGCCAUCCUUCCUCUUUUGGAGACAUUACUGGACAACGUGCUUCUACAAAGCGAAGGAGGAAAACAAGCAGGAAGAAGCCACGGGAUCCAGGAGGCAGAGAAGCCACAGCAGAGCGAGGGGGGGGCCGCGUUCCCCAGGAGGACGGGAACGGAGCCCAGGCCCGGGAGCCCGGGGAUGCGGUGACGCGGUGGGUCUCGAGAGCGGCCAGCCCAGCGCGGAACCAAGGAGGUGGGACCCCCAGAGACAUGGGCUCCAGGGGCUGAGAGAUGGCACACGUGUGCGGGUGCAGUGAAAGGACAUGCGACACUUUUAUAAAGAUUCUGGGCCGAACGAGUGAUACCAGGAGAACACUCAGCAAACAGGAAAGCAAUGCAAUUAUUACCUUCAGGGAAACAAUUUGUGUACGCAAAGACGUGCAGCUGCGUGUCAUCACACAUGUUAUCUGACUUAACUGUGAACCCAGUGUGACAUCCGAAUAUCCCACCAAAACGUACGAUCCGCAUACAGAACGGAUGGAAGAGGAGGGUGGGGGGUGCGGAGGGGUGUGUCUGUGUCCGUGACUGACGGGAGGGGAGGGUUAAAUCCUUUCUUCCCAUGCUAGGAAGUCAACAGGUAACAAUUAAAACUUAAAAAUCAUCAAGACUUGUAGAGUAAGGAUGCUGUUUAGACAUGUAGAGCUAUUUCCAGAUAAACCAGUUAAAAGCAGUGGAAGUGGUGGAUCGGCACUGGGUGGAAGACAGGCAGGGGCUAACAUUUCUAUGUUAAGAUUCAUAGUUACUAGUUUUUUUAAACUUAAGUGUUUGCUUAGAUUAAAAAUAAAAAAUUAUUCAAUAACAUCAUCAAAUAAAAGAAAUGUUAUAUUAUUGCCAGUAUGAGAUAUCUCCAUGUACCAGGGGCGUGUCUGGGGCCUGCGAAGAGAAAGAUCUGGGCUUGGAGACCGGAAACAGACGGGCAGGCAGUGGCAGAGGUUUUUCUCAAGGUUAAACUAGCCAAUCGGCAGACACACGGCCCAGACCCGAUGUUCUGCCUCUAGCUCACUUUAGUUUACCCUAAAGUUUUCCACAACAGAGAUGUGAUCCCAGCAAUCCAUGAAGUGGGGAUGAUUAGCACCUGCAUUUUGCCCGAGAGAAAACGGAGGCUCAGCAAGAAGUUAGAGCCCAGGGUCACGGGACGGUCAAUGGCAGAGCCGGAGCCAAGCCCUCGGGACGUGUGCUCCCCAUGCACACACCACCUGCCGAAAGCGGACGGAGGGGCUGAAGGUCCCCCUGGAAGGAGAAACUGCCGCUGCUCGGAG
rnacentral:lncRNA from 1 species